rnacentral:rRNA from 1 species
UACGUAGGGCGCAAGCGUUAUCCGGAAUUAUUGGGCGUAAAGAGCUCGUAGGCGGUUUGUCGCGUCUGCCGUGAAAGUCAGGGGCUCAACCCCUGGAUGCGGGUGGAUACUGCUGGGCUAGAGUCCGGAAGAGGUGAGUGGAAUUCCUGGUGUAGCGGUGAAAUGCGCAGAUAUCAGGAGGAACACCGAUGGCGAAGGCAGCUCACUGGGACGGUACUGACGCUGAGGCGCGAAAGCGUGGGGAGCAAACAGG